rnacentral:rRNA from 1 species
AUACGGGGGGGGCAAGCGUUAUUCGGAAUUAUUGGGCGUAAAGGGCGCGUAGGCGGCCUGACAAGUCAAAGGUGAAAUCCCUCGGCCCAACCGAGGAACUGCCUUUGAAACUGUCAGGCUUGAGGCCGGGAGAGGGUAGUGGAAUUCCCAGUGUAGCGGUGAAAUGCGUAGAUAUUGGGAGGAACACCAGUGGCGAAGGCGGCUACCUGGACCGGUUCUGACGCUGAGGCGCGAAAGCGUGGGGAGCAAACAGGAUUAGAAACCCGGGUAGUCC